AUGGCGGCUACAUUCAAUGUUAACGCUGAGGCAGGCCUUCAAAAGCUUGAUGGCUACCUUCUGUCUCGCAGUUACAUCUCUGGAUACCAAGCUUCCAAGGAUGACUUGGCUGUGUAUUCUGAGUUCUCAGUUGCUCCACCAUCGACCUGCACCAAUGUUGCAAGGUGGUACAAUCACAUUGAUGCGCUCCUGAAGCUGAGCGGGGUUACUGCGGCCGGUCAAGGUGUGAAGGUUCUGUCAUCAGUUGUCCCUGAAACCUCAACUACUGAUGUUGCUGAGGCUCCUGCAGCUGAUGAUGACGAUGACAGUGAUGUUGACCUUUUUGGAGAGGAAACCGAAGAGGAGAAGAAGGCAGCUGAAGAGCGUGCUGCCAAAGCAAAGGCUUCUACCAAGAAGAAAGAAUCUGGCAAGUCGUCAGUUUUGCUUGAUGUUAAGCCAUGGGAUGAUGAGACUGACAUGGUCAAGCUUGAGGAAGCUGUCCGAAGCAUCAAGAUGGAGGGCCUUCUGUGGGGCGCUUCCAAGCUCAUGCCAGUUGGAUAUGGCAUCAAGAAGCUUCAGAUUAUGAUGACCAUCAUUGAUGACCUUGUGUCUGUUGACACUCUGAUUGAAGACCAUCUCUGCGUCGAGCCAGCCAACGAGUACAUCCAGAGCUGUGACAUUGUUGCCUUCAACAAAAUCUAA
rnacentral:rRNA from 1 species